CACACACACACACACACACACACACACACACACUCACACAUACGCACACACACACACACACACAGAACACUAAACUGUAAUGUUUUUAAUAUUCAUGUUUUAAUGUGUAAACUGUAUGUUUGUUGUAUUGUAUCCCUUGUUCUCAGCAUCAGCCUGAAACGCAGUGAGAUGGAGGAUAACCCUAUCUAUGGAAACAUUACCUACACACACAGCAGAGAUCACAGUGAAGAACGUCCCGCUCGGGCGUUCUCUGCUGGACGGGAGUGCUACGCCAACCUGACCCUGAAAGUUCCUAAAGUACCCUCUGGCCGAAGUUCUCCAGCCCCUCAGAUUCAGUACUCAGACGUGAUGACUGUUAAUCAGGAUCCAGUAGAACCAGAACCCGACGGGGAAGAGGACCCCAUAGAGAAGGAUACGUGUUCCAUGAUCUCCGAGCUCUACGCCUCUGUGGACGCAGAACACAUCAAGACCAAGAAGCAGGACAACAACGAACCGUACGCCAACCACGUCUGAGAACCUGAGAACUGUCAGAUCAGAGAGACACUGUUAUAAUACGAAUGAACUGUAUAAACAUAACAAUCCUAACUGUGGUACACAGUCCCAUUUCUCAUUUUAUAUUUCAUAGGGGCGCUCAAAAGUGUCCUCAGUGCUCCCUUUAGUGAAGACAGCAUGAAUGCAGACUUAGCAAGAAGGCGGGGUUUGGGCAUCCAACUCCGCCCACAUGCAGCCCAGCCUCUUGUUACGCCACAAGCCACGCCCUUCUUACAUCCUAGGCCGUGGCUGUGCCCGAAACUGAUUUCUAUUUACUUCUAGGUAUUAAUAAGUCUGUCGGCCAUUUUUGUUGAGGUGGGAUUAGAAUGUAAUUUUGAGGAACUAUAAACUUCAAAAUACAUCACAAAUUACAGUAAAAAAUCAUAUCAUUAGCUACAUUAGCUAAGAGCUACCUUUAAUCGUUACUAAGCAACCUAACUUGGAAGUACUGGAGCCUAUCGAGAGCCUGGGGUUGCCAAAUAAAACAUGUUUCAAAUCCA
rnacentral:lncRNA from 1 species